rnacentral:rRNA from 1 species
AAGCAGAGGGGGCUUAGUGGUGGGGUGACUGCGUACCUUUUGUAUAAUGGGUCAGCGACUUAUAUUCUGUAGCAAGGUUAACCGAAUAGGGGAGCCGGAGGGAAACCGAGUCUUAAUUGGGCGUUAAGUUGCAGGGUAUAGACCCGAAACCCGGUGAUCUAGCCAUGGGCAGGUUGAAGGUUGGGUAACACUAACUGGAGGACCGAACCGACUAAUGUUGAAAAAUUAGCGGAUGACCUGUGGCUGGGGGUGAAAGGCCAAUCAAACCGGGAGAUAGCUGGUUCUCCCCGAAAGCUAUUUAGGUAGCACCUCGUGAAUUCAUCUCCGGGGGUAGAGCACUGUUUCGGCUAGGGGGCCAUCCCGGCUUACCAACCCGAUGCAAACUGCGAAUACCGGAGAAUGUUAUCACGGGAGACACACGGCGGGUGCUAACGUCCGUCGUGAAGAGGGAAACAACCCAGACCGCCAGCUAAGGUCCCAAAGUCAUGGUUAAGUGGGAAACGAUGUGGGAAGGCCCAGACAGCCAGGAUGUUGGCUUAGAAGCAGCCAUCAUUUAAAGAAAGCGUAAUAGCUCACUGGUCGAGUCGGCCUGCGCGGAAGAUGUAACGGGGCUAAACCAUGCACCGAAGCUGCGGCAGCGAACGUAUCACCCAAGACAACUUUACGGAGUUGACGAUUGACGGAGCGAAGCGACGUCAAAGCGUUCAUUAAAGUCGAGUUGGCUUAGGGAUACGUUCGUUGGGUAGGGGAGCGUUCUGUAAGCCUGUGAAGGUGGCCUGUGAGGGUUGCUGGAGGUAUCAGAAGUGCGAAUGCUGACAUAAGUAACGAUAAAGCGGGUGAAAAGCCCGCUCGCCGGAAGACCAAGGGUUCCUGUCCAACGUUAAUCGGGGCAGGGUGAGUCGACCCCUAAGGCGAGGCCGAAAGGCGUAGUCGAUGGGAAACGGGUUAAUAUUCCCGUACUUGGUGUUACUGCGAAGGGGGGACGGAGAAGGCUAUGUUGGCCGGGCGACGGUUGUCCCGGUUUAAGCGUGUAGGUGUGUGUUCCAGGUAAAUCCGGUUCACUUUAACACUGAGGCGUGA